ensembl:lncRNA
CGGCAAAGUUGGCAAAAGGAGGCCGUAGAGCAAAACCUGUGCAUGGAAGCCCUGGCCUGCUUUAGCGUGGUUUGGAGCAUCCUCAAGGAAAUGGCAACCCACUCCAGUACUCUUGCCUGGAGAAUCCCAUGGACGGAGGAGCCUCGGCGGCUACAGUCCACGGGGUCGCAAAGAGUCGGACACAACUGAGCGACUUCACUCACUCAAGAUUUUUAAUAAGGAUCACAACCGACGGGCAGGCUGGAGGCGGAGAUGCAGGAGCAAACGACAUCAGAAAGGUCAGAGCAGCUCUGUUUGUUUUUCCAAACUGUCAGAGUAAAGUUACAACGUGCCACCUGGGUAAGCCACUAGCAAAGUCCCCGGAUGACGUCCACUGUAACCGCAGGGAUUUCUCACAGUGGGGAUUGCUAGAAGAAGAAUUUGCUUGGGGGAAGGGAGCUGCCAGAAACCAGCCCCAGCGAAGCACCGGGAUGGCUCAAUGCUUGACAUGACAACGGUCUUAUUUUUAAUCCUCAACCAGACCCUCUGAGGUGCCACCUGUGCUGAGACCACCUCCCUCCACCAUUCUGCAACUCCCAGCCUCCUCCGCGCACAGUGACGUCAUUUCCUGGUUUUACUUCUGGAUGGUUCUCCAGUCUGCCUACGGUCACACCAAAACUACGCAGCUCCUUCUGAGCCAGGCAGUGGGCACCCAGCAUGGUGGAAGCCUGUUCUACAUCCUGCAGCAAUUUUCAUGUGGGGAAAUAAUAAUAUAGGACAAAGAAUUAUUGAUGUCACCGUCUAGGUCGUAGCUUGAAUCCAUCUUUCCCUACAGAUACUCUGUUGAUUUAAUUGAAGGGAAGCCCAAAUGAUAAUAAAACAGAUGAUAAUGAACACGCUAGCAAUAGCGAACCUUCCCAGAGUACUUUCUCUAAACCAGACGCUGUGCUUUCAUGACUAAAACCAUGAUCGCAAACUGGGUUACUGUGAACCCAGCUUCCGAAGGAGGUGGAUCCCUCAGUUAGGCCCAUUUUACAAAGAAGGAAAUUGAAACCUGGAGAGGUUAAGGAACCAUCCUGAGAGUCAGAAUACUUCAGGGACCUCCCUGAUGGUGCAGUGGCUGAGACUCCACGCUCCCAGUGCAGGGGACUGGCCUCAACCCCUGGUCAGGGAACUAGAUCCCAUGUGAUGCAACCAAGAGUCCAAGCUGCGACAAAGACCUGGCCCAGCUAAACUAAACAUAUGAAUAUAGGACGAUAUCUAGUGUGCAUGGGUGACGGUGUUAGCUGCUCAGUGGUGUCAGACUCUUUGUGACUUCAUGGACUGCAGCCCGCUAGACUCCUCUGUCCAUGGAAUUCUCCAGGCAAGAAUACUCUAGUGGGUUGCCAUUCCCUUCUCCAGGGAAUCUUCCCCAUCCAGGAAUCGAACCCAGGUCUCCUGCACUGCAGGCAGAUUCUUUUUUUAAAUUUAUUUUUUUAUUGAAGGAUAAUUGCUUUACAGAAUUUUGUUGUUUUCUGUCAAACCUUAACAUGAAUCAGCCAUAGGUAUACAUAUAUCCCCUGCCUUUUGAACCUCCCUCCUGUCCCCCUCCCCGUCCUUCCCCUCUAGGUUGAUACAGAGCCCCUGUUUGAGUUUCCUGAGACAUGCAGCAAAUUCCUGGUGGCUGUCUAUUUCACAUAUGGUGAUGUAAGCUUCCAUGUUUCUCUUUCCAUACAUCUCCCCCUCUCCUCUCCUCCCCUCUCCCCCAUCUGUAAGUCUAUUCUCUAUGUCUGUUUCUCCAUUGCUGCCCUGUAAAUAAAGUCUUCGCCUAUAUAUGUGUACAUAUAUUUUUAAAAAAGGAUAAUUCAGUCUUAGUCCUAGCCCUACCACCAACAAGCCUUAUAAUUAUAGUCCAAAAUACAAAUCCAAGUCCUAAUCCUUGGUACCUUGAACAUGACCUUAUUUGGAAAAAGGGUCUUUGCAAAUAAUAUUAAGUUGAAGAACUCGGGAUGAGAUAAUUCUGGAUCACUUGUGUAGAUCUUAAAUUCAGUGACAAAAGUUCUUGUAAGAAAAGGAGAAGACAGAGAUGCAGAAAGGAAGUCCGUGUGAAGACAGAGGCAGAGACUGGAGUGAUGUGGCCACAAGCCAAGAAAUGCAAGGAGCACCCAGGAAUUGGAGGAGGCAGGAAGAAUUCGGCCCUAGAAGCCUUUGAGGGAGCAUGGCCCUGCUGACACUUCAAUUCAGGAUUUGCGUCCUCCAAAACUCUGAGAAAAGAAGUUUCUGUUGUGUUAAGCCAGAACACAGCAGGUUCUAGGUUGUUGUCAUGGCAACCCUAGAAACUAAUGCUGUGACUACAGGUGGCUCCCUCUGGGUCUUGGGUUCCUCAUCGGUUACAGGCGAGGUUGGGAAUAUACCAGCCUCUGAAUGUGAGGUGAUGAACCUGGGCCAGUCACUGUGGGGGGAAUAUGUAAGCCAGUGGUUCUAGGACAGGGAACAUCUGGGAAUGUCCAGACCCUGAGGCUGGGAAAGACUGAGGCCAGGAGAAGGGGGCGACAGGGGAUGAGAGGGUUGGAUGGCAUCACUGACUCGAUGGACGUGAGUUUGAGCAAGCUCUGGGAGAUAGUGGAGGGCAGGGACACCUCAUGUGCUGCAGUCCAAGGGUCACAAAGGGUUGGGUAUGACUUGGCGACUGAACAACAACAAUGAGAGACUGGUUUUCACGACUGGGUGAGAAGCGGUGGUGAGACUCCUCCUGGCGUCUGGUGAGUGGAGCCCAGGGAAGCUGCUCAGCACCCUCCAACACGCGGGACGGACCCCGCCCCAGAGGACAGCCUGGCUCAAGGUGUGAGCAGCGCGCAGGCUGCAAACCCUGGCGUACACCAGGCUAAGGUGCGGCCUACAAGCAACACCUUAUGUGACUGAGAAGUUCACAGUCACUUCUCAGGGCAGGUGAUAGUA